AACGAACGCUGGCGGCAUGCCUAACACAUGCAAGUCGAACGAGACCUUCGUGUCUAGUGGCGCACGGGUGCGUCACGCGUGGGAACCUGCCCUUAGGUUCCGAAUAACUCCCCGUAAGGGGUGCUAAUACCGGAUAAUGUCUUCGGACCAAAGAUUUAUCGCCUUUGGAUGGGCCCGCGUUGGUUUAGCUAGGUGGUAGGGUAUAAGCCUACCAAGGGGACGAUCCAUAGCUGGUCUGAGAGGAUGAGCAGCAACACUGGGACUGAGGCACGGCCGGGAAACCUACGAGAAGCAGCGGUAGGGAAUAUUAGACAAUGGGCGAAAGUCUGGUCCAGCAAUGCCGCGUGAGGGAUGAAGGUCGUAGGAUUAUAGAGCUCUUUUACCCGGGAGGAUAAUGACAGUACCGGGAAAAUAAGCUCCGGCUAACUCCGUG
rnacentral:rRNA from 1 species